rnacentral:rRNA from 1 species
UACGAAGGGUGCAAGCGUUGUUCGGAAUUACUGGGCGUAAAGCGCGCGUAGGCGGGUCUGUAAGUCGAUUGUGAAAUACCUGGGCUUAACCCGGGAAUGGCAGUCGAAACUGCAGAUCUUGAAUGUCUGAGAGGAUGGCGGAAUUCCCGAUGUAGUAGUGAAAUACGUAGAUAUCGGGAAGAACACCUGAGGCGAAGGCGGCUAUCUGGCGGUACAUUGACGCUGAUGCGCGAAAGCGUGGGGAGCAAACAGG